UCACUGGCCAAGGAGAAUCAAAGAGCUAGAUGCUGAGAAUAAUGCAGCCAUAACGUGAAAUCUUUUUGAGACCACUCACUCUGGGAGAAAGCAACUGGCUAUGUCAUGAGGAAAUUGAAACCACCUAUGGAGAAAGGCCCACAUGGUGAGAAAGUAAAGCCUCUUCCCAAUACCAAAAUUCUGUAAGUCUGCUACGGUGACAUUUCUGGUUAGGAGUCAGAGUGGAUGGGACACUGAGCAAUAAGAAUGCAGAGACAUGAUGGCUGAAGCUGGAGCUUUUCCCUGAAGCAACCACCUGUUGGAAACUUCAUGUUGAAGAUGACUGAAUAAUAAGACAGAGGGGUCUGGGUCCCUGGUGGAUAUUCCAGAUCUGGGUGUUCGUGGAGAUAUGAGAAAGCAAUAAACUUCAAUUUUGCUUAAAU
rnacentral:lncRNA from 1 species